rnacentral:rRNA from 1 species
AUGUGCAGCUGCCUCUGGAAUCGCUGUAGGCGAGGAAUAGACGCGCCCCCUUCUACUGGGCAUCAGCUCGUUCGGGAAGACUCAAAGAGAAAAACUCGUUCAGGAUCGACGGUCGUGGAGGUGGAGGCAAGGACAGUUCGUCGCCUCGUCGGAAUCAUCGCCGCCUGCGUCGCCUGGGCGGAGAUAAUGGUAAUGCUGAAAGACAAGGUUCCCCUCAAGCCAACAGAUAGAUCGAGCCAGGCUCACCCGUUUGCCUUUGAUUCGUCGCCUGCGUUAGUUGAGUUCGCCAUGGGAAACAUCAACUCUUGCUGGGCGACGCACCCGCAGCCGCCGGUAAGCAUGACCUCGUCCGUAUGCACGACGGAGGCCACCACCGCGGUGCACAAGUUCGUGGUGAACUACUCGCUGCUCGACGGCAUGGGCGCCGACAAGUACGUCACAUCGAGCACGUUCAGAGUCGGGGGCUACGACUGGUGGAUCGAUUUCUACCCUGACGGCGACAGCCGGGCGCCUGGCUAUGUGGCAGCCUUCUUGCAUCUCGUCGGGGAAGAAGCGGCACCGGCGGGUGUGACGGUAAAGUUCACCUUAAGUUUGCUGAAGCAAGAUGGCAAAGUACACAGAGAUUCCAACGCUCCGAUCAUCACCCGGACCUUUGAGACGACGGGUACUGGCUGGGGCAAUAUGAUGAUUAUAAAGAAGUCCAAGCUGCGAGGAGACUGCUUCACCAUCAGGUGUGAUUUGACCGUCAUCGCUGUCAGCCCAGAACUACUCGCUAGCACUCGAGUACACUGA